AUGCUUUGUUUUUGCAAAAUUGACCCUGCAUUUGUUCCUAUUCAACCCGCAGUCCUUUGUAGGGGCAGAAACGCGUGCGCCCCGAGCCAGGGAGCUCGGCUCCGCGCCAGGCGCUCGCCCCGACCCCGCCUUCCUCCCCCGCCUCGUCGCGCCGGCCGGCCUCACCGGAGAUCACCGCCGCCGCGACCAGGUCACGUCGCCGCCCCUGCCUUCUCCUCCUCCCUCUCCUUCCUCCCUCCCUCUCACCAUCUCUCUCUCCCUCUCAUUGCAGCGCCGCCAUGGCCGCCCCGAGCUUCGCCGGCAGCCGCGUCGCCCGCCUCCGGCCACGACUUCGGCGGGAUCCGGCCGCCACUGCCCGGAUCCGCAUCCUCUGCUCCGCCGUGCCCCGGAUCCGGCCACCACCAAGCCUCCCGCGUUGAUCGGCCCGUCCGCCGGUCUCCCCCUGCUCGAUCCGGGGGGCGGCCAUGGCAGGGAGGCCGCGCUGCGCUCGGGCGCCCGCAUCAGGCGGCGGCAGCGAGGAGGGAGGCACGCGUGGAGAUGAAGGACGAAAAGAGAGUCGGCCGGAGCGAGGAGUUCUCCGGCGUCGAAGCCACGGACCACGGCGGCGCAAGCUUGCGGGGGGCGAUGGCCAUGGCGGGGAGGCGGCGCUACGCUCGGGCGUCGCAUCAGGCGGCAGCAGCGAGCGGGAUACGCGCACGGAGAGGAAGGAGGAGAAAAUGGAGAGGUGUCCGGGAGCGAGGACUUCGCCCGCGUCUAAGUCACUGCUGGGCGGGACGCGCAGGCGCGCGAGGGGCACGACACUCCUCUCAUGGUGUGUGCGCUCUUGCCGAGUUGGCAAAGUUUUUCUUAGACGGACGGGAACGGUCCCGUUGCUGCCUCGCCGCUGGGAUUGAAGUCAGUCGACCGACGUACCGAUGCAUCGGGGCUCCAUCGAAAUAUCAGGCGACUCAUAUAAGGGAUUGGGGAGGCAAAAUAUUACGCAACUUGGGAAGGUAG
rnacentral:rRNA from 1 species